AGGGGAAAAAUACAUAAACAACUAACAUUUUUAUUGUACAGGCGACUGUUUGGAGCAGGCUUUGAUUACCUCCUCCCUAUAGUACACAGUAGCCCCCUUCAGAGGAUCUUAGAACCCCUCCCCCCACCAGCUUUCUUUCUGUCUUCAAAUAAAUUAAAAGUACUGAUUUAUUUUCAAGGCCUUUAUAAAAACUUCCUGAAAAGCAAAUACUAUUUGUAGUGGUGACAGGCAAUUAGCGAGGCAUUUAGAUUUAUUAUAAAGCACGAGUGAAAAUGGUGUUUUAUUUUUCUUUUACAGGAGUUUUAAAAAUUCACUUCAGAUAAUGGGAUGAGAUUGUGUCUUUCCCAAGGACUGGACCUCAGCAGAGGGGUGAGAUUACAAGUUGUUGCAGUGUCUAAUCACGAGUGACUCACACGCAGGUUCUUCUCUAAUAAAAAUCACUUUUAAAAUUUUCCCCUUAGACUUCAUUUACUCCCCUCUUAAUUUCCUCCAGUGUAGAACAUCCGUUUCUAAUAACAGUCUGUGUUGAAUGCCGGUCCAGUAAUGGGGCCCCUGCAGUGUUUCUGCAUCUUAGGGAACAAGGCUCUGGGAGGAAGUAGAUCCACCAUGCACAUAGAGAUGGGCAGCUCAGGCCGGCCCAGGUGCUGGCUAGAGGCUGGGGUGGCUAGAUUCCCAGGGUGCUGUGUGUCCACCCUCUUUCAUAGGUAACUUACUUCUCUGUUCCCAGUUGGCUUCUUUUCUGCUGGUGAAGUAAAUUUCUUCUGAUUCUCUUCCAAUUAUUCUUCCCCUUCCCUAUUUAUAUCUUUCUCUAAAACAUGACUUAUGAUGAUAACUAAUACUCAGAGCAUUUAGGGUUAAAGCAAUCUCAUUCUGCUCCGUGGAAAUUUCCUGUAUUUGUUGCCCCAAAUUGACUUACAAUCAAUAUUAAAAUAAAACUCAAAUUUUCUUCCCCAAUCAUCACCUCCUGAGUUAGAAAAUACUCUUGCAUUUUUUCAAAACUAGUUUUUCUAAGAAUCUACUUGAUACACACACAUUUACAAGUAUAUAUGUAUACAUAGACAUGCACACACACAUAUGAAAAUAAACAAGUAUAUUUGAGUCCUAAAAAUGCAAAUGCCCUUCUAUUUUCUAUAUAACACCAUUAAUAAAAAGUAUUGAUAGUACUAGUAAUAUAGUAUAUUACAUAGCAUAGAAUCCAUAGUCCUCCCUUUAUAUCCACAGAGGCUUGGUUCCAGGACUCCCCUUGGGUAAAAUUUAUGGAUGCUUGAUCCCUUACAUAAAGUGGUGAAGUAAUUGCAUCUGCUCUGUGCUUAGCCUCCCCUGUACUUUAAAUCAGCUCUAGAUUUUUCUAAUAAUACAUAAUACAAUGAAAAUAGCUGUUAAACAACAUUGUUUAUGUACUAGUGAGAAGAAAAGUCUGUACAUGUUCAGUAUAGACACAGUCUUUUAUUGUUUUGAAUAUAUUUGAUCCGCAGUUGAUUGAGUCCUCAGAGGCAGACUUGGGGGAUAAGAAUUGGCUAGAUAGCUAUUCACAAUAGCCAUCUUGACUAAUUAUGUUGUUGUUGUUGUUGUUGUUCUUCUUCUUCUUUUUUAAAAUAUCUUUUUGGUUGUUGAUGAACCUUUAUUUAUUUAUAUGUGGUGCUGAGAAUUGAACCCAGUGCCUCACACAUGCUAGCUAGACGGGUGUAUUUACCACUGAGCUACAGCCUCAGCCCCUUGGCUAACUAUAUAUUUAUAACUGUGCUAUAAUAAGGCACAUAUCAUUCUAAUUAUGGUAUUCCAAUAACUGCAGUGUAUUGCAGUGUAUCAUAUGUAUCAAGUAUGUUGUUAAUAAUCACGAUAAUUAAUUGACUGGGACCGUUCUACACCCAGUACAGUGUGGACCCACCACAUGUGCCAUUUAUAGGAGCUCCCUGAGGAUGGCAGGAAAACCCUUUCCAGGUGAGGAGUUUGAGUGCUGACACACCCCUGGACUAAGAGCCAGAGUGAACAAGGGAGGCAAUUCCUGUGGCCUGAAGGGUGCCUGCCGCCUCCCACACUGACACCCUUACUCCACAUGUGGGGUGCUUUUCUUCUUUCUGUGUUAUACUUCAGAUCUGAAGGCCCAUAUGUUGAAGGUAUGGUUCCCUGAUGGGAGGUGGUGAGACCUCUAAGAGGUCAGGUCUAUGCUAGACAGGUGUCAGGAAGUCAGGUCAUUGGGCAGGGGGUGUGCCCUUGAAAGGACGUUGAGACCCCAGCCCUUUCCUGUCUCUCUUUGCUUCUUGAGGUGAGAGGCUUGCUCCACUGUAUACUCUCUUGCCAUGAUGUUCUGCCUCCUCACAGGCCCCCAAACAGUGAGGCCAACUGACCCUGGUCUGAAAACUCUUCAACUAUAAGCCAAACAACUUAUCUCAGGGGUGUUAUUGCAGUGAUUCAAAGCUGACGAACACACUGGGGCAAUCUAGCUCUUAUUCCGUCUUAUUCUGAUAAUUCCAAUUCCUCCCAUGAUGACUUUUUCCAGAACUCCUAUUUCCUUUGGCAGGUGGGACACGAAGUGGUUUGUGAAUACCACUUCCAAUGUGCUAUGUUGAAGUGAUCAGACAUUCCCAAACAUCAGGGAAAAAUCUGUUUAUAUUAUGUGGCCGGCCCUGCCUUCCUCAAGAACAACUAAAAAUGCCACAAGUCCCAGUGUUUUGGCAUCUAAUCAAUAGAUUCCUAAGUUAUCUCUCAUAGUAAGAAACAAUACAUAAACUUUUAGACAUAUAUGUUCUGGUAUAGUUUUAAAUUUGUUCGACUUAGUUAUACAUGGCAGUGGAAUGCAUUUUGACACAUCGUACCUAAAUGGAGUAUAAUUUCUCAUUCUUCUGGUUGCACAUGAUGUAGAAUCUUAAUAUAGCAAUUGUGCAGAAUUUGGCCCAAGUAUUUUGGUGGUUGAGAAAGAAAAUUAAAAAUCUAAUUGUAAAACAUGGUACUGAUAGAUGAAAUGCACUGCAGAUAUUCAUGUUUUUAGGAUUUAAAAGGAAUUUUACAGAGUAUUUAAUGGCAUUGGGACAUAUGGAGUGUGUAAGAAAUUAACCAGGAGGAUACUCAAUUUGUAAGUCGCACACUCUCAAAUAUGUUAGAAUAUGAAAACUUUCUUUAAAAAAGAAUUAAAAAAAUACCAAUAUGAUAAUAGCCAUUUAAAAGCUAUUAUCUCUUGGUCUUGAGAUCCUAAAAUGAUUAUUAUCUUCUCUUUUAUACUUUGGUGCAUUUUAAAAAUUUUCUACAAUAAGCAUGUGUUUCUUUUAUAAUUAAAAAAUAUUUUUUUUUAAACUAAAAACGGCCACAAAGAUUAUUAAGUAAAUUUUACCACAUACAUCUUAUCUGUAGGGAUGUUCUGGAAGGUGCUGUGGCCUCAAUUAAAGUCCUUUCAUGUUGAUAUUUGUACUCACUGCCUUGCAAAACUUCUUUAAGAAACCUUGUAGCAUUACUGGCUGCAGCCUUAUCAAAAAUCUCUGCUGUCUAUUUCAAUUCUGGUUUAGAACCAUUGUUAAGAAAGACACUUGCAGGGAAUUUGUUCUUAAGGUGCUUUUUUUCGCCCCCCCCGAACAUUAAUUUUCCACUUGCCUCAAAUUUUCCUUUGACUUCAGGAAAUUUGAUUUUUAUUGUCCUCUGAGGAAGUCUGAGGGCAUAGGGCCUUAAUACCCUAGCAUUUCCCCUGUAGAAUCUUAUUUAAAUUUAGAUUAUGACCACAUGAAAAAUUUGUUGGGAAAGUCAUCAAUAGGGCCAUAUGUUAGAGUUUCAAAAAUCCCCCUAAUUUCCAUUUAACUCACAUCAUAAAAAUCACCCUCCCAUUCAAUCAGACUAUUAUAAGGUGUUUUAGAUGAGUGAUGGAUGAAUGCCUGUAAGAGGCGAGCUAAUCAGAAGGCCUUGAUCUUCCCGAGAGCUAUUAAUCUUUGUCUUUCACGUGCUUCUUUUUCUCUUCCACACACACGCUCUCACACAUGCUCUGCCUAAAGCAAAACCAUAAAGAAGAAAGCUCUUAAGAGUCCAUAAAAGUGUGAAUAAGACUUUAAAUUUUAUUUUUAUUUACUAGACAUGGAUGGAGCAGGUGCCGAGGCUCGGUGGUGAUUCACAGCUGCAUGCCAUUUCUGCCUCCUGCCCUGCCCAGGGCUCUGACAAGCUGACAGUUCUGUAUGGACUAACCCUCCUCACGAAAGAACUGGAGCUUGCUGGGAGAGCACGGGAGCUCUCAGUCAUGUCCGACGAUCAUCAACCAACAUGCAUUUCAAUGGCUUUCAUUUCUAAUGGGUACUGUCAUUAUAUUUAACAACUCUUUAUAUGACCCACCCAGGUCAGUUAAAGGAUGCUUCAUUGCUAGUUAGAUAAUUAUGAGAUGCAAUUCAUUUAACAUGCCCAAUGAGUCAUGUGCAAUUUUAAUAUCACAUGCAGGUUUGAGUGACCUGUGUAUGGCAUUGUGGUGUUUUUAAAAGGAUAGCUCAUUGCACGGCGGGCAUGCAUUUAGAAUCUGGUUUCAACCAGCCCACUACUUCCCACCUCGAUGCUGCAUAACUGAGUCUACUGGGUAGAUAGGGCUCCUCUCAUAGACAGCUGAUUCAUACCAGAAUGAGCAUCUCUCUGGUUUCCAUUACCCCUGCUAAACGACAGUGGUCAUGAUACAGCCUGAUUGUUUUUAACAGGUUUGAAGAAAGCAAGUGAAGUGUGCUUCUGUUUACUGCCAAAGGCUGUGUAUUAUGUAUAAAUAUUCUCUGAUAAUUCAACAACAUUUGCAGUUGGGCACUAAGUGUAUUUUACCUGUUAUGCUAAUCAUUCUGAUGAAAAAUGAUCAAAGGUUUGAAAAUCUAUCUCUCUGGAAGAAUACAUUAACAAAAUAUUUUAAAUUUUCCAAUAUUGUUUUCUGAUUUUCA
rnacentral:lncRNA from 1 species